GUCCCCUUUCAACAUCACAAUGCCUAGCCAAGAGUCCUUGGCCCUGUGUGUUGUCACCUCAGCAAGUACCCCAUGGAUCCAGACCUUACCCUGGACCACGCAGCUGGCUGAGAGUCACCACCCUCCUGGAAGCCAGCUGCAAGAGGAACACUGGUGACCUCAGAAAAAAUGCAGCCUGCCACGUGCUGUUGGAGUGGGAGCAGACUGGGAGUGCCCCAUGUGAUGGAGCCUUGACCUUGGCCAGCAACCAGGCUCAGUGACUGGGCACUGAAGACUUCUAUGAAGACUUCACGCAGGAUCCUAAAUUUGAGACUUGUGAGCAAGUGGCCUCAGCUUCUUUCAGCUCAUCACGGCAUGACUGGGAUCUGACUGUGCCUUCACAGACUUAGCACAUAUAUUAUCAUGUUGCUGUGUCUCAUGGCUCAG